GUACUAUUAAUGUUACCUUUAUCUUACUUUUCUUCUAUUUUCAUCAUACAUAUCUGCAUUCAAAUUAGAAUUAGAUCGAUGUAUCUGGAUUUAAAUUCAGAUUUGAUUGUUUGUACAAAAAAAUCUUAGACUUUGUAGACAGAGGUUUGAAGAAUGUAGCUAACAUAUCAAGGUGUAACGUUGAUUGACAUCUUUUUUUUUUUUUUGCUUGGAUGGACCAUGGAAAAUCUUUGAUUAUUGUUUCAGAUCCGAUCUUGUUGUAUAUAUUCCAACCAAACUUUCAGAAAUUAUUUUGUUCCAUAUAUAUUGUCGUACAAUUCGGUUCAACUUGAUUACCGGUUCUUUUUAUGAGUUUUUUGUAUGUCAAAGAAUAGUGAAAUUAACAAGUUUUAUUUACAUAUAUUUAUGUAGAUAUCACUGUGUCAAGCAAGAUGGAAGAAUCCAAUAUUCCAAUCAAGAUUGAUGAUAAAUCAGCAGGUGAUGUAAAAGAAGAUAAGGUUGAGAUAGAAAAAGAUCUGGAGAUUAAAUCAGUAGAGAAAGAUGAUGAGAAAAAGGAAAAGAAGGAUAAGGAGAAGAAGGACAAAACUGAUGUAGAUGAGGGUAAGGAUAAGAAGGACAAAGAGAAGAAGAAAAAAGAAAAGAAGGAAGAGAAUGUUAAGGGUGAAGAAGAAGAUGGUGAUGAAAAGAAGGAUAAGGAGAAGAAGAAAAAGGAAAAGAAGGAGAAGGGAAAAGAAGACAAAGACAAGGAUGGUGAAGAGAAGAAAUCUAAGAAAGACAAGGAGAAGAAAAAGGACAAGAAUGA
rnacentral:lncRNA from 1 species